CGCAGAGCUCGUACACGUCCUCGAACAGCACGUCGUCGUCGGCCAUGGUCCGGGCGGGGGGGCUCAGCCCGAGAGGCGGCGGCCCCGGGGACGCCCGGCUCCCCCGCCGCUCAGCGCCCACCGCCACCACGCGGGACGUCAGUGUUUUGUGCAGCACGGUCUGGAGCGCCUUUGCUGUUGGGAAAGCCGCUCGUUAUCCCUGAAAGCAGCGAAUUCACCCUUGGAGCGCGGCUCCCGCCGCCGCCUCACGGCGGGGAGCCGAGAGCGCCGCCGUGCCUGCCCAGCCAUUGUCCCCGGGCCUAACGGCGUGCACCUGCCUGCUUUCACAAGGCCCACAAAGCUGAGUCCCACACAGGUCACUAAGAAUUUUUAGAAUAUGGGUGAAUCCCCAGAGUCAGCACACCUGGAAUUCAAAUAAUCUCCUUACCCAGGAAGGCCACAUUACUGAUCUCAGUCUUCCCUCUCAGAUGAGGAAUAUCUUCACAGAAGAGUGAACACCCUCUGCUUCACCAUUUAGUUACUUUCCCCUUCCUUCUCCCUCUUAUGCCUUCCCCUUCUGGAGUAUUAUGCUGGGGCUACAUGAUUAUUCACACCCAAAC